CAGCUGAUGAAGGAACAAACCUCAAAUGUCUUGCUGAAAGUUCAAGUCCUGGAGAAGAGGCUUGGACGUCUUGCUCUAAUACUGGUUUUAGCACUGUGUGGACUGGUGGUAGAAGCAUGCAUAAUCUACAGACUUCACACACACCAUACUUCUGGAACUUUAUCUGCAUACAAUGCUUCUUAUGAUCAACAAAAUAAGCUGAACAUUCUGUCUGCUCGGCUGGGAACAUGUGAACACCACCUGCAAAAGAUACAGUACAAGGAGAUCACAAAGAGGUGGCCUUCACUGCAGCUCUUCAGCCUUCAUCAUGGGAUGGUAGUGGUUAUGGGGUAAUAGGACCUUUUGACACGGACAUCACCUUGAAACAUGGCAACGUUCUGA